rnacentral:rRNA from 1 species
UACGUAGGGUGCGAGCGUUAAUCGGAAUUACUGGGCGUAAAGCGUGCGCAGGCGGUUUCACAAGCUCGAUGUGAAAGCCCCCGGGCUUAACCUGGGAAUGGCAUUGAGGACUGUGGAGCUCGAGUGCGGCAGAGGGAGGUGGAAUUCCACGUGUAGCAGUGAAAUGCGUAGAGAUGUGGAGGAACACCGAUGGCGAAGGCAGCCUCCGUGGCGACACUGACGCUCAUGCACGAAAGCGUGGGGAGCAAACAGGA